CCUUCUGGGCUGAGGAUCGGCGUGCACUAAGGCGCUGAUAUUCCGAAGGGAGAAACCGCCGCAUCCCUGGAGAUGGCGGGGGAGGGGGUGGCCCGGAAACUGGCCAAGCCUUCCCCUCGGUCUCAGGAUUGACCGAGCCUUGUUUCCUGAGUCCAGCUGACAGUUCACCAUAGAAUACCUGUCUUGGUAUUUGCUGUGGGUCCAUGCAGAUGACGUGUCCAGACCAUCGUAGCUGGGUUUUGAGGACCAUGACUUCGAUGCUGGUGGAGUUGGCUCUGUCGAGGACUUCCUGAUUGGUGAUUCUGUCCUGCCAUCAGAUCCUCAUGAUUGACCGGAGAGAGCGUUCGUGGAAUUGCUCCAGCUGUUUCAUGUGCUUCCGGUAUAGUGUCCAUGUCUCACAACCUUACAGGAGCAAGCUGAGGACAACUGCAUAAUACACUUUGAGGUUCGUUGCAGUGCUUACACCUCUGUGCUGGAAGACUUUAGAGUGCAGCCGCCCGAGUGCCUGGCUGGCCUUUUGGAUCCUGGCAUUGAUCUCAUGGUCUAGGGACCCGUCGUUGCCGAUGGUGCUGUCCAGGUACUUGAAAGUGUUGACAUUACAAAGCUGCAUGCCAUUGAUUGUAAUGCACGUAGUUGGCCUCCCUGGUGCAGGUUGGUACAGCACCUCUGUUUUGUUGAGGCUGAUAGUCAGGCGAAACAAUUUUGUUGCGGUGGAGAACUUGUCCACAAUGGUUUGAAGAUGAUUUUCUUGGUGGGCCACGAGAGCACAGUUAUCUGCGAAGAGAGUUUCCAGGAUGAGUCUCUCUGUUGUCUUUGUUUUUGCGGUCAGGCGGCAAAGGUCAAAUAGUGAGCCAUCCAGUCGGUAUUUGAUGUAGAAGCCCAGGUCUAGAUCCAUCACAUCAUGUCGUAAUACUUGGGUGAAAAAUAGGUUGAAUAGCACCUGAGCAAGGAUGCAGCCUUGUUUCACGCAAUUGGAGAUGUUGAAGCGAUCGGAAGUCUCUCCAUCAGACAGGACUUCCCCUGUCAUGUCGACAUGAAAGAACUGGAUCAGUUUGACGAAUUUUGCUGGGCAACCGAGCUUGCUGAGGAUCACCCACAAUGCUUACCUGUUCACUGUGUAAAACGCCUUAGUUAGGUCUAUGAAGACAAUGUAGAGACUCAGGUUCUGCUCAAGGCAUUUUUCCUGCAUUUGCCUCACCGUGAAGACCAUGUCGAUCUGGUUGGAAGGCGCAUUGUGAUUCAGGCAGGUUCUGCUCUGAGACAGAUGACAGAAGUCUUUUGAAUAUAACACGGGCGAGGAUCUUUCCAGCAGUGGAAAGUAGUGAGAUGCCUCUGUAGUUGUCAUAGGCUGCUUGUGCGCCUUUGUUCUUGUAUAGGGCUACGAUGGAGGCAUCUCUGAGUUCUGAGGGCAUGUCUUCCUCUUCCCAUAUGCUGGUCAACACUAUAUGGAAUGCCUGAAGAACCUUUCCCUUUAGGGCCUUGUACACCUCGGUUGGGAUCCCGUCUUUACUGGGUACCUUGCCUGCACUCAUUUGUUUAAUGGCUUUUUGGACUUCUUCUAAUGAAAGAGGGAUGUCAAGUUGCUUGAUGAUGCGGUUUUGGGGGAUCUGAUCAAGGGCCCUUUGGUCGACUGAGGAGAGUAAGUUGAAGAGCUGACUGAAGUGUUCUUUCCACCUGUUGCUGAUGCCUUUUUUGUCUUUUAUGAGAGUGUCACUGUCAGAGGAUAGCAAGGGGGUGGUGGUGGAUUUUAAUGGCCCAUAGACAGUCUUGAGGGCACUGAAAAAUUGUUUAUAGUUUUUCGUGUCAGCAAAGCCCUGGAUUUCUUCUACCUUGUUUUCCCCACCAUCCGUCUUGCAUUUUCCUGAUCUCACACUACGCCGUGGCUUGGAGAGACUUGAAUCUGUCCUUUUUAGGAUCAGAGUUUGGGUUAUUUUGCCACUCUAUAAAGGCUUUGUUCUUUUUGUUCAACAGGUCUUCAAUAGCAGUGUUGUUCUCAUUGAACAAGUCCUGCUGGUUGCGUUGUUUGGGGCCUAGGACUGCCUUUGAUGUUUCCGUCACCGUGUCUCUGAACUGGUUCCAUUUCUCAGUUGGGCUUCCAGUGAGUGGUCCCUUGGCAGACAGUUUGUCGUCCAGACAGGACUGGAAUGUUUGCAGAUAAAAUGGAUCUCUGAGACAACUCACGUUGCAAGAUGUGUGAAUUGUCUGGGCGCAUUUUGGAUGGCGAGGCGCAAUGCGUAUUUGAAGAGUCACUCUAACCAAUCGGUGGUCUUUCCAGCAUUCAGCUCCUCUCAUGGCUCUGUUGAUCUGUACAUCCUGAAUGAAUUGCCGGCAUACAAUGAUGUAGUCAAUGAGAUGCCACUGUUUUGAUCGUGGAUGCAUUCACGUUGUUUUGUAUUUGUUUGCCAUUCUGAACGCAGUGUUCGUGAUGGUGAGUUCGAACUCUGAGCAUUUGCUGAGUAGCAGUAGGCCGUUGUACAUUUAGCCCACGCCGUGUUUGCUGAGCACUCCUUUCCAUCUUUCAUGGUCCUGGCCAACACGGGCUGUUGUAGUGAAAAUUUCACCUUUUAAGAUUGUUAUAAUAUUGAACAAUGGCCGCCAAGGAAUUUACUUAUGAAAUUCCUAAAAUGAAGCACUCAAGUCAGAAUGGAGUUUAUGGAGGUUUAAUCACAAUGGGAGUAGGGAAAAGGAGAGGGAGAGAAGGAGAGAGAAGAAAAGGGAAAGGGGUUACUCAACCUCUGACCAAGGCAGAGGGAGAUUAGGCCCAAAGGGCCAAGGUGGAAAGGAAUCAGUCCUUGACUCACGUGACCGAUCUGAAGGGAAGCUGUCUGUGGGCCUCCUCCCAGUUCAAGCUCCUAACACGAACUGCUGUCUCGCCCUGUCCACAGGAAGUGAGCAAAUUCCCGAGGCUGCUCUCUCCGUCACUUCCUGUGCUUCACAAGUGCCAAUGGUGGCUCAAGCUUGGCUUAGGACAGCCCAGGUGGGCAGUUAGUUAUUUCUGAUUUGUCAUUGACUAGCACAUGCCCGUGUAGUGUGGGUGUGCACAAUUUUUGGGUGCUAGACCAAGAUGGAGAUUUUAAAAUUCACAAUCCCCCCGAUGAUGAUUGGGGGACUAGUCUCCCCAAUUGUUCACUAAACAUAAGCGUACUGCACCCAAAAAAAUUCUAACUGUAAGUGUAUACAAAAUGUUUACCCACUAAGAGGAAAACUAUAAUAGUUGUAGAUAUGGGGAAAUAGAGGAGAGAGAAAGACAGCAAACCAAUAUUUUGCUGGGCGCAUUGACAAAAACCAAUUAGGGGGCAGUCCCCUUUGGCAUAAGAGUAUACAUUCAAAAAAUGUUCAAUCAACCACACCCCAAGGUUCAUUCUGAAUCUUCCUGUAGUGAAAAGGUUUAGAUAUCUUUCUGCAAACAGUUCAUUCUCUGGAUUCAGUUAGUUGGCAAGCUUCUUUUCUGAAGAUCUAUCUCGAACAAAAUUUAAAUUUUGGAUUUUAUGAAAUACAAUCCCCCCUGAAGAAAGUGUUGAAAAAAAAAACACUGAGUCCAGCUAAGGAUGCAAGGUUUAGUUGUGGGGGUGUGUGAGUUAAUCCAAAAGGAAAACAAAACAAAAUGAAAACAAAAUAAAAAAAAAACAAAGAAGAAAAAGGGAAAAAAUUAAGGGGAAAAUAUAGACCCUUUAUAUAUACAUAUAUUUAUAUUAAAAAAGAAUUCAAAAUCAGUAUCAAAAUAUCAAAAAAAUCUAUGUAUACAAGAUUUUGAGAAAGCAAAAAUAAAAAAAAAUUAUCUUUUUCCACAGGCCCCUGUAUUAGAGUCCAGUUAAGUAAUUUCUAAUCCCACAAGUCUGUAGGACAGAAUGCAGCAAAUUUCCCUUACCCAUUUGCAGCCAAGGCUACAGGAAGUUGCCAUACUAUAAGAGAGGAAAAGGACCAUACCUUUAUUUAUACUCUUCAGCUCACUAUUUUACUUCUACCAGAAUGAUAUAUAGAUUUCUUGAUUAUAUUCUUAACCCAAGAUGAAUUUUACUUUGUUUUAAAAAAUGUUUAUUACCAAGGUUGAAAGAUUGCUAUGUUUGUAAAAACUUGUGACAAAUAUCCAUCAAUUCAUAGGUUUUAAAAUUGCCAUGCAGCAACUUAUGUGAAAUAUGAAAGUGUGUUUGUUUGCUAUUGUAAUUAAUUGGGCUAUUGAGAAUUUUGGGGAUAUUGAUAUCUACAUAUUUCUACUACUGUAUUUUUAAAAAUGAAAAAGUUUUUACCUUGUUCAAUUCAUUUGCCUUCUACUCACAGUGAGCAUGGCCAGAUACAAAGAGGAAAUGGAUCUCAUUUUUGGUAAGAAAGCCUUGUAUGCUAUAUUUUCUUAGCUUACAGAAAAUGUCAAUGAGUAUAAGCUAUAUUUGUGAAUUUUUAAAGCUCUUUUUAUUAUAUUUUCCUUGCAUGUGCAAUAUACUAUUUGUUUUUUUUUUAUUUUUUCUCUCCUUUUUAUAUUUGAAGCACAUGUCACCAGCAUUAAGAUUUUCUUUAACCUUUUGAUUUUUCAGUAAGAUACAUUUGCUAAUGCAUACCCAAAAAGCUUGUGACUAUAAAAACGAUGCUACUAAUUAUUUAAAUAAAUUAUGGGACUUUGCUUAAUGAUUCUGUCUGAUUCCAGGACAAGAGAUACACACAAGAGCCAUUGCACAGAGCCAAAGAAAAGCCAAUCCAGGAUGGAUUGAUGCACUUCUAGGCCACUACAAAGGUUUUGAACCUAGUGUGAGACUUGGGGUUGCGACACUUGACUUAUGUUAAGAUGUAGGCCUUCCUUGUGCCCACACUCACUCUGAAGAUACUCACAGACUAGUAUCCCCAAACUUGGCUCCUACUUGGCUCCUAUAAUCUGGUCCCUUUCUUUUCUGUCUUUCAUAGUGUGGUACCUUUCUGUAGUGCUGGCUACUGACUGGGUAAAUGCAUCAUUGCUUCGAUCAUUUUGAUUGGGCCCUGAUUCAAGGACCUGUUAUAGAUUUAUUUUUCUUUUACUUGGAAUUUUUACACAUAAGACUUUGAUAGUCUAUAUUUUCAUCCAGAAAUUUUUUUCUUUUCUUUUUGAUUUUUCUGAUAUCCUUUUAAUUUCUCUUGCCAAUUGAUUCAUAUACCUCAUACCUCAGCCAUGCAUCCCUAUGUGAUUCUGUAUUUGUCAAUCACCCUCUUAACGGGGGGAAUGUAAAAAUAUCAUUAUUUAAAUUGCAAAGUUUAAAUUCUUUUUUUUUUAAACCCUUACCUUCCGUCUUGGAGUCAAUACUGUAUAUUGGCUCCAAGGCAGAAGAGUGGUAAGGGCUAGGCAAUGGGGGUCAAGUGACUUGCCCAAGGUCACACAGCUAGGAAGUGGCUGAGGCCAGAUUUGAACCUAGGACCUCCUGUCUCUAGGCCUGGUUCUCAAUCCACUGAGCUACCCAGCUGCCCCCUUAAAUUAUUUUUGAGAAGAAUUUUAGGUAAAGAAGAUGCUACCUCUCUGAAUCCAGAACUGAACUGUUGGAGAAGCCACCAUGAAGAAGCCUCCAGACCACAAGCUGCACAAAAAUGAACUUUGGGUGUAGUUGAUUGAACAUUUAUUUGUAUGUAUACUUUUGUGCCAAAGGGGACUUCCCCCUAACUGGCUUUUUGUCAAUGCGUUUCAGCAAUUAUUGGUUUUAUUCUUUUUUUUCUCUUAUCCUCAAAUUAUUGUAAUCUUUAAAUUGAUUAUGUUUUCAUGAUCCUUUGGAAAAAAAAUUAAUUUUUUUUCAAACGCUCAAACAGGGGAAUGUAAAAAAAUAGACUCGAAUACAGGACUACAAUCCCCACAAUUCCUUGCUCCACUUCCCCAGAAUGCUUUGUAAUCUCACCUGGGCCAAGAUUGAGAAGGUAUUUAACCUGAUUGAAAAAAGCUUUUGCUCUCUUUUGGACUUCCAUUUUGGGGCAGAUGUGGCUCUUUCCAUAAUGUAGGUGAGGUCUUGUCUAGGCCUCUGGCUUAGGCAUGUGUUUUUUCUUACUUGUAUAUUCUUAAAUUCUCAACCUUUAAUAAACCUUAUAAAAUAUAA